CAACUGUGUGAAUUAAUGUGAACUGCAUACUGCUUUGAACAUCGACAUCUUGAACGCAUAUUGCGGCCACGGGUUAGCCUGUGGCCACGCCUGUCCGAGGGUCGGCUUAUAAACUAUCGCGACGCCCAAAUAGUCGCGGCUUGGGUUUUGCCAGCUGGCGUGAUUUCCCCUAUUUGGCCUCGUGCCUCUGUGGGGUGCCAGAACUAUGGCGUUUCCCUAAUGUAACCG
rnacentral:rRNA from 1 species